GGCUCCCCACUGAGCAGAGAGACCAAUACUGGGCUCAAUCCCAGGACCCUGGGAUCAUGACCUGAGCUGAAUGAGCCAAAGGCAGACGCUUAACCAACUGAGCCACCCAGGAGCCCCUGAACAACAUGAACAAAAUGUUGCUAUAAAAGGAGAAAAGAUGAGGAGACUGAAGUAUGAAGAGGUUAAGCAACUCAUGCAAGAUCACCAGCUAUUAAGCUAUCUAGCCAGGACUCAAACCAGGGCUGUCAGCCUCCAGAGUCCUGUAUUUUAACUAUUACACUGUGCUGCCUGGCUUUGCAUUAGGAAAGAGGCUCUCAUGUGCAAUACAGCCAACUCUUUAAGGAAUUUCCUUCUCCAACUACCAGAUAGUUUUAAUAACAAUGAGUAAAAUAUACCAAGCC